GUUAAGCUUGCGUGGGCGAGAGUAGUACUAGGAUGGGUGACUUCUUGGGAAGUGCUCGUGUUGCAUUCC
rnacentral:rRNA from 1 species